UAAGCCAGAAUUUAUGGCAAGGGUAUCUGAUAAGUCAGCUAAUGAGUUCUGUCUUCAGAGAACAGAGAUGAGAUGGGGUAUUUAAUAGGCCUUUGGUGAGUAUUUUUGCUUUCUCAUUGGGUGAUCAGUCAAGAUAUUGGACCAACUGCCAGUGAGAUAGAUACCAACCCAUAAGAAAAGUCUCAGGACAUAUUAUUAUCCCCCUAGGCAAGCAAGUGACGAAAUAACGGUGGUGAGACAUGAGAAAGACCAUGUUCGGGAGAUUUGAAAAGCACAUUCCUGCCUUAUCAGAAACUGUGGUAGAUAAGUUUUGUGCCAGUCUCAGUGCACUGUGGUGCCUAUGCUUUGAAAGCUCACAUUCCAGUUAGAAGGCAAGAGGGCAAUAACCGCACUGCACUUCAUCAUUCAGAAUUGAGCCAAGUAACGAGCUACCUAAACUACUUUGACCAUUGAAAGUUUUGUUUGUAAUGCACAAGAAUAUAUUUUUUGUUGGGGAUAGACUGAGAAGCUUUAUGUACAUAUUAACAAGUGUCUCCAGUUCUGAAGAUUGAGGCACUUCUGUAUAUUUAUAAAAUGGCUGCCAUGUUCCUAAUUUAGAUGGACACCCUUCAUUUAUGGAAUCACCUUUAGGCAUGUGGCAUUGUCAACAAGCAUGUGAUAUACUGAUAGCUGUCUGGAGAUGUUCCCCACCCCAAGCUUUUCUAAGAUAAUUCUAAUCCAGAAAGCAAGGCUGGGAAAACUACUCACCUCACAAACACCUUCUACUGCUACAAAAUUAUUCUGUAGUUUUUAAGUUUUCAAGUGGUUGUACAAGGGGCAGGGGUUACAAUUUCAUAAUCCUAUUCUGUCUGUCAGUGGUCACCUACAUAUUUGUAAGUUUCUUGUGUGCUAGGGACUGAUGAAAUUCUAGCUCAUAAACAAUCGUUUCCCAUAUAUGCUGAGAUUAUCCGUUUGGUCACCACUUGGGGCUCUGAAAACUGGAAACCUCUCUCCCUCCUGCAAAAAAAAAAAAAAAAUGGCUGGAUGGGAUAAGACCGUGAACUUUCAUCAAGAGGAGGAGUAGAACAAGGUUGGAUGUCUCCAGAAGGCUCUGUGUGAUGCCCUAGAAAGGGCUGCAACUCUUCAACUAUCAAUCCUCCAGCUGAGGUCACUGAUUUAAGUACUGAAAUUGAAGUGAAAUGUACACAAGUAUGU